UACGGGGGGGACAAGCGUUGUUCGGAAUUACUGGGCGUAAAGGGUCUGUAGGUGGCCAACUAAGUCAGACGUGAAAUCCCUCAGCUUAACUGGGGAACUGCGUCUGAUACUGGUUGGCUUGAGUGCAGGAGAGGAAUGCGGAAUUCCAGGUGUAGCGGUGAAAUGCGUAGAUAUCUGGAGGAACACCGGUGGCGAAGGCGGCAUUCUGGACUGCAACUGACACUGAAAGACGAAAGCCAGGGGAGCAAACGGG
rnacentral:rRNA from 1 species